UCCCUCAUCCCCCCCUCUCCCCCCCUCUUUCCCUCCUCCUUUUCUUUCUUCUUUUAAGUGGAAGCUUCAAUCAAGCUUCAAAUUCUAAGGUGACAAUACAAAUUGCUCACAGGAAAAAAAAGUGCGGUCACACAGCUAGUACAAAUAAAAGCGGAAGCAAACAGGUACGUUUAUGGGAAAAGAAUGAAGCAGAAACAACUCAGAGUUAUGUGCUGAAUUAAUCAAAAGUGAUUCACCUGUAACUGAAAGUAAGUUGUAUCAAAGCCUGCUCCAAUCGACAAUAUUUGCUUCUUGGUGUGGCCGCCGUCAUU
rnacentral:misc_RNA from 1 species